rnacentral:tRNA from 1 species
GCCAGCGUAGCUCAGUUGGCAGAGCGCAUCCAUGGUAAGGAUGAGGUCGCCGGUUCAAUCCCGGCCGCUGGCU